GACGAACGCUGGCGGCGUGCCUAAUACAUGCAAGUUGAGCGCUGAAGGUUGGUACUUGUACCGACUGGAUGAGCAGCGAACGGGUGAGUAACGCGUGGGGAAUCUGCCUUUGAGCGGGGGACAACAUUUGGAAACGAAUGCUAAUACCGCAUAAAAACUUUAAACACAAGUUUUAAGUUUGAAAGAUGCAAUUGCAUCACUCAAAGAUGAUCCCGCGUUGUAUUAGCUAGUUGGUGAGGUAAAGGCUCACCAAGGCGAUGAUACAUAGCCGACCUGAGAGGGUGAUCGGCCACAUUGGGACUGAGACACGGCCCAAACUCCUACGGGAGGCAGCAGUAGGGAAUCUUCGGCAAUGGACGAAAGUCUGACCGAGCAACGCCGCGUGAGUGAAGAGGGUUUUCGGAUCGUAAAACUCUGUUGGUAGAGAAGAACGUUGGUGAGAGUGGAAAGCUCAUCAAGUGACGGUAACUACCCAGAAAGGGACGGCUAACUACGUG
rnacentral:rRNA from 1 species